rfam:Rhizobium lusitanum strain P1-7 genome assembly, contig: Ga0061101_163
GAGGGUGGGCCCCUCGGGAUCGGCUUUCAGGAGCAGGUUCCAAACCAGUCCGAGCUGCUUGCUGCGGUAAAGAGCCGUGGUGGUGAGCGUCGGAUCAAAAGCUCAUGGCAUGACCAUGAGCAGGU